GACGAACGCUGGCGGCGUGCCUAAUACAUGCAAGUCGAACGCAGUGGGGACGGGUGAGUAACACGUGGGUAACCUCCCAUCAGAGGGGAUAACACUUGGAAACAGGUGCUAAACCGAUACUGAUGGAUGGACCCGCGGUGCAUUGGCUAGUGGGUGAGGUACCUGCUCACCAAGGCCACGAUGCAUAGCCGACCUGCGUGGGUAAGCGGCCACACUGGGACUGAGACAGGGCCCAGAGUCCUCCGGGAGGCAGCAGUAGGAAAUCUUCGGCAAUGGACGAAAGUCUGACCGAGCAACGCCGCGUAAGUGAAGAAGGUUUUCGGAUCGUACAACUCUGUUGUUAGAGAAGCGGUAUCUAACCAGAAAGCCACGGCUAACUACGUGCCAGCCGCCGCGGUAAUUC
rnacentral:rRNA from 1 species